UACGUAUGGGGCGAGCGUUGUCCGGAAUGAUUGGGCGUAAAGGGUACGUAGGCGGUUAAUUAAGUCGAGUGUGAAAGGUUGGGGCUCAACCCCAUAAAGCAUUCGAAACUGGUUAACUUGAGAUGUGGAGAGGAAAGUGGAAUUCCUAGUGUAGCGGUGACAUGCGUAGAUAUUAGGAGGAAUACCAGUAGCGAAGGCGACUUUCUGGCAAUCAUCAGACGCUGAGGUACGAAAGCGUGGGUAGCAAACAGG
rnacentral:rRNA from 1 species